UAGAAGAAGUUCUACAGCAUGAACAAAGCGCCGUGGCCUCAACUUCAGGCCAGACAGAAAAGGACUCUUCUUCCUCUUCAGAAUGCUUCAGCACCUCCUCCCAAGAAAAGCUCACUGGUGCUGGAAUCUUAAAAUCAAGCAAAUGUGAUCCACCACCUGGCCACUCUUUGGAAGACAAUACUGCGGUCCCUGAGGCAAAAGAAAUCUUAAAGAAGCAAAAGGAUACACCACAGCCUGGUGAGAGUACCUCACAGGAAGAACACAGUGCCGUUGUCUCAAGUGACCUCCCCUGUGCCUCUGACAAUAAGAAUACGGAAGUCUUAAACACAGAUGAAGACAUUCUACUUUCUGGACCCUCUGGGUUGGCCCAAGGCCACAGCCAGAGGGCAGAAGUUUCAGACUCAGAAUAUAUUUCCCGUAUCUCUCCUGCAGACAAGCUCUUUGACAGAGGUAAUAUGGUGGGAGUGGAGGGGCUGGGGGGAAAUCAGGCAGGGAGGUGAGGCAGCAUGUUAGCCAAAAAUUAGAAUUACGAGCCUAUGCCCCGCAAUGCCAUAAAUGACCCCUUCUCACGAGGAUUGUCCAAGGUCUGUAUUCCUAAUUAAUAAGCAGAAAUGUACCAGGGAGGCAUCCCUGUCUUCUUUGGAAGAAGUUCUUAAAAGAUCUGAAUGAGAAGAUAAAAUAUCUAAGAGAAAUGUGGAAAUAUAUUUUCGGAAAGGAAGUUUGGGCCAUGACCGUGAAGUCUUAAUUUGAACAUUUCCAGCACCAGGGUUCCCCGGGAACCUUGAAAAUUCAUUUUACCUGCAUUUGUACAUUAUAUAUCUAUCUUUUUUAAAGAUUAUAUUUAUUUUUUUAUGAGAGGCACAGAGAGAGAGAGAGAGAGAGAGAGAGACAGGCAGAGGGAGAAGCAGGGUCCAUUCAGGGAGCCUGUAGUCGGACUGGAUCCUGGGUCUCCAGGAUCACACCCCCAGCUGAAGGUGGCCCUAAACCACUGAGCCACUGGGGCUGCCCUCUAUCUAUCUAUCUAUCUAUCUAUCUAUCUAUCUAUCUAUCUAUCUAUCUAUCUAUCCAUCCAUCCAUCUAUCCAUCCAUACCUCCUCCGUGUGUUUUUAAGGGUUUAUAGAUAGAUACCAGAUAUCAGUACAUACGUAGAGAGAUACACAUGCAGAAUUCUUCAUAAAAUUGCACCCCAUGCCCCCUCAUUGCACAGUGUCCUAUAAGGAAAACCAAGCUGAGAAUAUCCUACUUUAGUGACUGCAUACUGUUUUACAGGCAUGGUUCUAAGUGUCCAAUACUCUCUACACAUGUCCAGAAAUCUCACGAGAUAAUAUCAUGGUCAUUCACUAUAAACACAGUUUUACUAAUUAUUAUUUCGUUAUAUUUAGGAGUAAGUGAAGUUUUAAAAGAUAAAGUCACCUGAAAAUCGUAGCAUUUCAAUGAAGAAAGUCACCUUAGUUUCUAUGAGAGUUAAGUCUCAUGUGUGGUAAUGAUGUCUAACUAAUA
rnacentral:lncRNA from 12 species